GCCAGCCGGGCGGAAGGGCGGGGCUUGCGGCGGAAGUCCCACCUCCUGUCGGGUCACGUGAGGGGCUGGACGCGAGAGUAGGAAUCAUGGCACUCUGGCGGGCAUACCAGCGAGCCCUGACUGUUCACCCGUGGAAAGUACAGGUCCUGACAGCUGGGUCCCUGAUGGGCCUGGGUGACAUUAUCUCACAGCAGCUGGUGGAGAGGCAAGGUCUGCGGGAACACCAGACUGGCCGGACCCUGACCAUGGUCUCUGUGGGCUGUGGCUUUGUGGGCCCCGUAGUGGGAGGCUGGUACAGGGUUUUGGACCGGCUCAUCCCUGGCACCACCAAGGUAGAUGCGCUGAAGAAGAUGCUGUUGGAUCAGGGGGGCUUUGCCCCUUGUUUUCUAGGCUGUUUCCUCCCACUGGUAGGAGCACUCAACGGACUGUCAGCCCAGGACAACUGGGCCAAGCUGCGGCGGGACUAUCCUGAUGCCCUCAUCACCAACUAUUAUGUAAGCGAUGACACCGCCCCUGCCCGUCCUGCUUUCUUGAGUCCAGACGUGCCCGGGAUGGGGGUCCUCCUGACAUAGAAGCCCCUCCGUUGGGAUGAGUGGGCACCACACUCAGGGAAGCACUCAGCUGCUCACCUUGUUCUUGUCUGCAGAAGUCGGAGUGAGACCAGGCAACUGGCCGUUGUCCAGUGUGUGGCUGUUCUCUGGAAUUCCUACCUGUCCUGGAAGGCUCACCGGCUCUAGGCCCGCCUCACUCCAUUGCCUGCACUUGUGGGGAUGCCGCUUGACCCUGGAGCCACCAGACAGCCUCCUCAGAGUGGGCACAUCAGCCUUCCUGGGGUUCCGUGCCACUCAGAACUUAAUGGGCUUUGCACCCGCCUCCUCUUGAAACCAUUAAAACCCUUCUAAUGAUUUUGUACAACCACCACCAUAAACGUUCGUUGUACUGUA